GCACCUCCUUAGAGAUCCACCUGCAGAAGAUCUACAACAAAGUGCCAGGGACCAGCAGCAACGGGCUGGAAGAGGAGUUCAAGAAGCUCACUUCAAUCAAAAUCCAGAAUGACAAGAUGAGAACGGGCAAUUUGCCAGCCAACA